UAUUUUUCUACGCUCCUGUUCCACAAGAAGAUCGCUUUAUUCAAUUAGUAACAUUGAUUGCCACAGAAUUCUUCCAUCGAUCGAAUACGUUGUUUACCAUGAGAGUAGACUGGAAUAGACCAGGCAUGCUGGCCAGUAAACAAUCUAUUUCACAUUGUAAAUGGGUUGCAACUAUCUAAUCGAAUCAACAACUGCCACAUGAACCAACAUGUGCCUAAUUUAGGUUGAGCAAUUACUCGAGAGAUUCUAAGGCAUCGUACAGAUGCUUGUUUUCGCUUGUCUUCCCCCUUUCCUAACCUCAUCGCUCGUAUUCCUCUCACCAAUAAUUUUUAAUUCGAUUCCAGCCGAGGAGGGAGCGUGUUUGGUUAACUGGCUAAGUUUGUAUUUAGACGGAAUUUCAGAAUGACCGAACUAAUAUUAUUAUAUAGCGAAAUUUUACAGGUCAUAAAUUACCAUUGCACAGUGAUAAGAAUAGUUUGGUAACAAAGCAAAAUUAAAAAAAAUUAUAAAUUUUUUAGACAUACAAAUUUCAAAAUUGCGAUAUCUUUAGACACAAGGAUUUGAAGAUUUAGGAAUUUGAAAAUUAAUAAAUUUUAAAUUUUGCGAGUUUCGCAUUUUGAAUAUAAUGUAAAUUUUACAAAUUAAGAGUUAGUUUAUUAUCCAUUUCAUUAGUCGAUUGUGAAACGACAAAUUUAAUUAUGUAAAAAGGCCUUUGUGUCAUGUAUGUAAAAUAAAGAAAUCAGGUAUACAUA